rnacentral:miRNA from 1 species
UUGAUUCCCAAUCCAAGCAAG